UACGUAGGGUGCGAGCGUUGUCCGGAAUUACUGGGCGUAAAGAGCUCGUAGGUGGUUUGUCGCGUUGUCCGUGAAAACUCACAGCUUAACUGUGGGCGUGCGGGCGAUACGGGCAGACUGGAGUACUGCAGGGGAGACUGGAAUCCUGGUGUAGCGGUGGAAUGCGCAGAUAUCAGGAGGAACACCGGUGGCGAAGGCGGGUCUCUGGGCAGUAACUGACGCUGGAGGAGCGAAAGCAUGGGGAGCGAACAGG
rnacentral:rRNA from 1 species